GGCCGCCAUGUUUGUCUUGUCUUGUGUUGUCUUGUGUGUUCAUUCCUUUGUCUAGGAAACACGCAGACCCCAACAUCUGGCGCAGCGAGCAGGGUCUGUGGCUUCACGAAAGCAAGGAACUGGAGGGGAAACAACCCCGGUGCUGGAGACGAGUGGUUCCCGUCUAGAAGACUAAAGCGGUGCCAUGGCAAAGAGGAGCUGAUCAGGGGACUUUCUAGCAGCAUUUCAGGAGCUGAAUCUGAGUGCUCAGAGAACAUUCACCUUCAGAACUUGAUGUGUGGAGCCCCCAACAUGGGGUCAGCUGAAAAAGCUCACUCAGAAAGCUGAAGGGGUUGUUCAGCAAGCUGGGCAGCCCAAAACCCCAAUGACUUUAUUUCUGGCUAUGCUGGCUAUAGUGAAUUGCCAGUCUGUUGGAGACAGUGCCAAAGGGCAAACACCGAAUCCGAGCAAGCUCAACAUGUGAUGAUGGUUUUGAAAGAAAUUCAAACUUGUAAAUAAAGAAAGGGGAAAUGUAGAGGACUAGGUGCUCGCAAACGAGAUGUUCCCAAUAAGUCCUGCUCUUGCAAACAAAGCAGGACGUUCCUUCCCUGCAAACAGGAAGGACAAAGGAGCCAGCUGCAAACAGCAGACCCUGGGGACUGAUUAAUGUGUAAACAUCUUGAAAAACCAGAAAGUCAGGGAAAGGUCAGAAAAACAACAUGUGUCUUGUGACUUGGCAACAUUCCACAAACGACUGUAUAAAAUAAACCAGAGCAUGCCGUUUGGCGUGGCCGCCA